UGCAAGUCGAGCGGCAGCGCGGGGCAACCUGGCGGCGAGCGGCGAACGGGUGAGUAAUGCAUCGGAACAUGUCCAUUCGUGGGGGAUAGCCCGGCGAAAGCCGGAUUAAUACCGCAUACGCCCGAGAGGGGAAAGCCGGGGACCGCAAGGCCUGGCGCGAAUGGGUUGGCCGAUGCCCGAUUAGCUAGUUGGUGAGGUAAUGGCUCACCAAGGCGAUGAUCGGUAGCUGGUCUGAGAGGAUGAUCAGCCACACUGGGACUGAGACACGGCCCAGACUCCUACGGGAGGCAGCAGUGGGGAAUUUUGGACAAUGGGGGCAACCCUGAUCCAGCCAUUCCGCGUGAGUGAAGAAGGCCUUCGGGUUGUAAAGCUCUUUUGUCCGGAACGAAACGGUUGUGGUGAAUAGCCACGACUACUGACGGUACCGGAAGAAUAAGCACCGGCUAACUACGUGCCAGCAGCCGCGGUAAUACGUAGGGUGCGAGCGUUAAUCGGAAUUACUGGGCGUAAAGCGUGCGCAGGCGGUUUUGUAAGCCAGAUGUGAAAGCCCCGGGCUUAACCUGGGAAUGGCAUUUGGGACUGCAAGGCUUGAGUGCGGCAGAGGAGACUAGAAUUCCUGGUGUAGCAGUGAAAUGCGUAGAUAUCAAGAGGAAUACCGAUGGCGAAGGCAGGUCUCUGGGCUGACACUGACGCUCAUGCACGAAAGCGUGGGGAGCAAACAGGAUUAGAUACCCUGGUAGUCCACGCCCUAAACGAUGUCGACUGGUUGUUGGGGGUUUGACACUCUCAGUAACGAAGCUAACGCGUGAAGUCGACCGCCUGGGGAGUACGGCCGCAAGGUUAAAACUCAAAGGAAUGACGGGGACCCGCACAGCGUGGAUUAUGUGGAUUAAUUCGAUGCAACGCGAAAAACCUUACCUACCCUUGACUGUCCGAGAG
rnacentral:rRNA from 1 species